rnacentral:misc_RNA from 1 species
UUCAAGCUUAGUAAUUAUGAAUAGGCUUUGAUUUACGUAUGUCAAAUGAUGCUGUUGAAAACAUGUCGGUGGUGAUAUAACAAAAAACAUUUUAACUUUAAAAAUAUAAAGAACUUGGAUUUACAAAUAAAGUUGUUAGGAUGCGAUCAAAAAUUUAGGCCACAAACAAUGUUACCUUUGUUCCAUAUCGUUUUCAUGCUGUUAACCAUAAACUGCGGAUCUGUCGCAUCCUUAUGUAGCCCAGGAUGUAAAUGUAGCUGGACCGGUUCUUGUUCCGGCUGCAAGGACGGGUAUUAUCAGAAUGACAAAAAUCUGUGCGAAAUCUGUUCAGCAAACUGCUUAACAUGCUCACCAAAUCGAACUUGCACGGAAUGUAAAGCAGGAUUCUAUUUAAAACCUUUUGACAACGAUGAAAAUAUCUGUCAUCCAUGUGCCGAAGGAUGCAGUGUGUGUUAUUCUAAAGAUGUGUGUUAUCAUUGUAACACGGGGUACUUCAGAAACGGCGGGUCGUGUAGAAAAUGUCCAAAAAGUUGUACAAAGUGCUCAUCAGAAAAUGAAUGUCUAGAAUGUAACGAGGGUUACCAUCAAUACGGCACAUUGUGCGUGGCAUGUCCCAGUGGGUUCUACUGGAUGGGAUCUGCUUGUUUACCAUGUUUCGAGAACUGUGCCUCUUGCGCAAUGUAUUAUGAAUGCACUGAAUGCAAGGCUGGAUAUUUUGGACGUACAUAUACCCAGAGCUGCUCUCCUGGAUGCGUGGACAACGUAUGUGAACAAAAAACGGCGAAAUGCAGUUGUCAAGGCAACUUUAUAGGAGAAUCAUGUAAUUCAUGUACUCAGGGAAAAUUUGGACCAGCCUGUAAUCCAAACUGCCCUAAACAUUGCUGGACUUGUAAUUCAUACGAAAACUGUACUAUGUGUGUUUCCGGAUAUUAUGGUAAGAGGUGCGAACAUAAUUGCUCUAGUGGAUGUUCGGAGAAUCGCUGUAACCCGUUGAAUGGUAUAUGUGCUGAAUGUAAGCCUUCAUAUUAUGGACAUAGAUGUGAAAUGACUUGUCCAAGUGGAUGUUUAGAUGACGUUUGCGACAUGGAAACGGGCACCUGCCAUCAAUGUAAACCUCUUUUCAAAUGGCCACCAUGUAUAAAUUGUAAGAAUGGGUAUUGGGGUAAAGACUGCAGAAGCGAGUGUCCGAACAGCUGCCUUUCCUGUUUAUCCACUACGGAGUGCACAAAAUGCAAAGAUGGACACCACGGAGAAAAAUGUGAAAAGAAAUGCUCUUAUAGAUGUUUAUCAGAUUUGUGUGAUCAAGACACAGGGAUAUGUUCUAAAAGCUGUAAAGCAAACUUCAUCGAAACGUACUGCAAUCAAUGUAUACCUGGGAUGUAUGGAGGUAAUUGCAGCAUGCCAUGUCCAGAGAAUUGUUAUACUGGAACGUGUGAUGCACGGGAUGGGACAUGCUUGUUAGGUUGCAUUCCCAAAUUUCGUGGCAAAUAUUGUAAUUUGUCCUGUCCAGAUGGGUGUUUACAUGGCACAUGCCGGUCGAAUGGAUAUUGUGAUGCAUGUAUUACUGGUUACCAUGGAAAUUUUUGUAAUAUAUCAUGUAGUAAGAACUGUAUUAACUCCUCGUGCAAUAUGUCAGGUUAUUGCAACGAUUGUCAGCCUGGCUAUUUCGGUAUAUUUUGUUUUGAACAUUGUCCUCCACAUUGUUUAUCAGGUGAGUGCUUGAGAAAUGGAAGUUGUUAUUCCUGCUUACCUGGGUUUUACGGACCAAAGUGUGACAGACCUUGCCUCAAAUAUUGUCAAACCUGUACAGAUAGUUUCUCGUGCAAGUCAUGUGAAGAUGGACUGUAUGGCAAUAAAUGCAAAUCGAAGUGUAAUAUGAAAUGUCAAACUUGUGAUAGUUCUAGUGGUCCAAUUAAUGAAUGUUUAUCGUGCAAAAUAGGUAGUUACGGACGAAAUAAAAGCAGUGGGUUUUAUCACUGCAGCAUGCGCUGCUCUAGAAACUGUAUGAAAACAAUAUGUAAAUCUGACUAUGGGACAUGUGAAUACGGCUGCAAACGGGGCUAUUGGGGAGAACGGUGCCUGUUUGAGUGUCCAGCAAAUUGUCUUCACAGCGACUGUCACAGCGAUAAUGGAACUUGUAGGCAUGGGUGUGAGUCGGGAUUUUAUGGCUCCUCGUGUCUUUCUGAAUGUAAAAUACAAGAUGCAAUGUGCACUGACUGCAUAACAACACUUGAUAGAAAGUAUGGCGGAUGCAUUUCUUGUGUACAUGGUUAUUUUCCAGACUUGGAUCAUAUUACCAAUACGCGUUGCUCGGAAUGCAAAAAGACAUGUAUUGAUCAGAAAUGUGAUACCAAAAUGGGGGUUUGCCUUAUGGGAUGUGUAAAUGGUACAUGGGGUGAACGAUGCGAGAAACAAUGCUUUAAAAGAGUGCUUGGUUUGUGAUAAGCAAACCGGACACUGCAAUCGUUACGUAAAUCCCGCUAUAUAUGGUCCUCACUGUGAUUUGGUGUGUAAUGGUAAGUGCGUAAAGAAGGAAUGCGACUGGUCAACGGGAAUAUGUAGCUUGGGGUGUGAAGUUGGCUACUACGGAAAUAAAUGCCAUAAUUCGUGCAGCUUUGCUUGUCUCAACAGAACAUGCGACAGAGAAACUGGCUCAUGUGUCAAUGGGUGUAUAAAAGAUUACGAGGGAGAUUCAUGCUUACAAGAAAGAAGAUAUGGAACUGAUUCUGAUUCGACCAGCCCUGUUGGUACUAUUGUUGUGGUGGUUUCUGUAACUGUCCUCGUCAUCUAUGCAGCCGUUACUACUGUUACAUUGGUCAGAAAACGACAAAAAGAGAAACGGCGACAGGAAGUUACUUUUCGUUUAAGGCAUGCAGUUGAGUAUAACCAAAACAGAGCAGCUUGUAGAAUUAUGGAGGACUCAGGUCAUAUCUACGAAGAGCCAAUUGAACAUAUCUACGAUGAGCCAGCUGAAGACCAGACAACAGAAGGAGAGUCAGCGAAACUCAUACGAGGUCCAGUCAGUCAGAAAGGCAACAAAAAAGGCAGUUACAUGUAUAUUCAUCCGAUUUAUUCUAUUUCUCAAAACACAGCAAUCGAUAACAAAUUAGUGUCGUCUGGUUGUACUGAUAUAAGCGUAUCUGAAAAUUUGUAUGAGAUUUAAAUGUUCGACGUAACAUUUUUUAAGUCAAAUUAGAAACACAUUAAACUUUUGAAUAUAAUUGCAGAAGGCUUUUUAUUUAUAACACGUUUUGUGUUUCUAUUUUAUCAAUGAAAUAAAAGCAUAGCUAUAUAAUGUGUUACUGUAAAACACUUUU